rnacentral:rRNA from 1 species
AUUGAACGCUGGCGGUAUGCUUAACACAUGCAAGUCGAACGGUAACAUGGGCGCUUGCGCCUGAUGACGAGUGGCGGACGGGUGAGUAACGCGUAGGAAUCUGCCUGGUAGUGGGGGACAACUUGGGGAAACCCAAGCUAAUACCGCAUACGCCCUACGGGGGAAAGCGGGGGCCCUUCGGACCUCGCGCUAUCAGAUGAGCCUGCGUUGGAUUAGCUAGUUGGUAGGGUAAAGGCCUACCAAGGCGACGAUCCAUAGCUGGUCUGAGAGGACGAUCAGCCACACUGGGACUGAGACACGGCCCAGACUCCUACGGGAGGCAGCAGUGGGGAAUAUUGGACAAUGGGCGCAAGCCUGAUCCAGCAAUACCGCGUGUGUGAAGAAGGCCUGAGGGUUGUAAAGCACUUUCAAUUGGGAGGAAAAAGUAACGGUCAAUAUCCGUUACCUUGACAUUACCUUUAGAAGAAGCACCGGCUAACUCCGUGCCAGCAGCCGCGGUAAUACGGAGGGUGCGAGCGUUAAUCGGAAUUACUGGGCGUAAAGCGUACGUAGGCGGUUAAUUAAGUCAGAUGUGAAAGCCCCGAGCUUAACUUGGGAACUGCAUUUGAAACUGGUUAACUAGAGUUUAGUAGAGGGGAGUGGAAUUUCAGGUGUAGCGGUGAAAUGCGUAGAUAUCUGAAGGAACACCAGAGGCGAAGGCGACUCCCUGGACUAGAACUGACGCUGAGGUACGAAAGCGCGGGUAGCAAACAGGAUUAGAUACCCUGGUAGUCCACGCCGUAAACGAUGUCAACUAGCCGUUGGGUCAUUAAUAUGACUUAGUGGUGGAGCUAACGCAUUAAGUUGACCGCCUGGGGAG